CGAUGAACCACUUCGGUGGGGAUUAGUGGCGAACGGGUGAGUAACACGUGGGCAAUCUGCCCUGCACUCUGGGACAAGCCCUGGAAACGGGGUCUAAUACCGGAUAUGAGCUUCCACCGCAUGGUGGGGGCUGUAAAGCUCCGGCGGUGCAGGAUGAGCCCGCGGCCUAUCAGCUUGUUGGUGAGGUAACGGCUCACCAAGGCGACGACGGGUAGCCGGCCUGAGAGGGCGACCGGCCACACUGGGACUGAGACACGGCCCAGACUCCUACGGGAGGCAGCAGUGGGGAAUAUUGCACAAUGGGCGCAAGCCUGAUGCAGCGACGCCGCGUGAGGGAUGACGGCCUUCGGGUUGUAAACCUCUUUCAGCAGGGAAGAAGCGAAAGUGACGGUACCUGCAGAAGAAGCGCCGGCUAACUACGUGCCAGCAGCCGCGGUAAUACGUAGGGCGCAAGCGUUGUCCGGAAUUAUUGGGCGUAAAGAGCUCGUAGGCGGCUUGUCGCGUCGGUUGUGAAAGCCCGGGGCUUAACCCCGGGUCUGCAGUCGAUACGGGCAGGCUAGAGUUCGGUAGGGGAGAUCGGAAUUCCUGGUGUAGCGGUGAAAUGCGCAGAUAUCAGGAGGAACACCGGUGGCGAAGGCGGAUCUCUGGGCCGAUACUGACGCUGAGGAGCGAAAGCGUGGGGAGCGAACAGGAUUAGAUACCCUGGUAGUCCACGCCGUAAACGGUGGGCACUAGGUGUGGGCAACAUUCCACGUUGUCCGUGCCGCAGCUAACGCAUUAAGUGCCCCGCCUGGGGAGUAC
rnacentral:rRNA from 1 species